rnacentral:sRNA from 1 species
CCUCCUCAUCGCCUGCCUGCUGCUGCGCGUCUUCAGGUCGGGAAAGAGGUUAAAGAAGACACGCAAGUAUGAUAUCAUCACCACUCCAGCAGAGCGAGUGGAAAUGGCGCCACUAAAUGAAGAGGAUGAUGAAGAUGAGGACUCCACAGUAUUUGACAUUAAAUACAGGUACAGGGUGGAGACAGAGGCUUCCUCCUGGGCUUGGGGCAGUGGGUUGGUGG